UACGUAGGGUGCGAGCGUUUGUCCGGAUUUAUUGGGCGUAAAGGGCUCGUAGGCGGUUUGUCGCGUCGGGAGUGAAAUCCAUUGGCUUAACUGGUGGCUUGCUUUCGAUCGGGCAGACUGGGAGGUAUGCAGGGGAGAACGGAAUUCCUGGUGUAAGCGGUGAAAUGCGCAGAUAUCAGGAGGAACACGGUGGCGAAGGCGGUUCUCUGGGGCAU
rnacentral:rRNA from 1 species